GUUCUACACUAGAAAUGAGUCCGUGUUGCAGAGACCACUUUUCUCACUUGCGGUCUUCUCAGGAAUGCUGCUUCUAAGCUGCAGUUCUCGGCCCAUCUCAACUUCAGCUCCCCAUGCGCACACUCAACACCCCACAUUGUACCUGUUCUUCGUGUUAGCGUAUGCACACACCAUCUGGAGAUAUGCUAAGGCACAGAUGUGUGUGGGCAUUUCAGUAGGCUCCCAGGUGAUGAUGCUGGUCUGGGUACCAUACUUUGAGUCACCAGGUGUUAAAACCCAAGAGCUCCCUUCUGGUACUCCAUCCAGCCUCCGAGACAGAUCACAGAUGAAGCCCCUUGGUUGUCAGUGCCAGAGCUUUGCCCUCGGGACCUCAAGCCAUGGUGUGUGUUCUUGGCAAAUUCUCAGGAACUUGCUGACUGCUCAAUACUCCACUUUUACAGGUUAUCAGUGUAGCCCAGUUCCACCGAGACCACAGUGUAGCAGAGCUUGUUUGGUCAGGUUUGGACUCUUAAGGGUUUGCUAUCAUCUAUGAUGAGGAUUUCUAUGGUUUCCCCUUUUAGACUAGGGCCAAUGGGACUUACCAGGUAUUGUGUUCCCAAAUCUGGGCUCUGGAAAUGGCGGCAGCUCUGGGGGAAUCGGCUGAGAAGAACCUUGAUCAAGCUCUGAUACCAGGAGACCGUCAUGGACAGGAAGCAAUCCUGGAAGAGGGUCCAUAUUUCUGACUCUUAUCCUAGUCAUCUGAGACUCCUUUACCCUCCACUCUGGCUGCUGUUACAAUCCUGGCCCUAACCCCAACCUUUCUGGAACCCAUGGUCCCUUACCAGCUGGGGGUCAAUGUCCCCAAUGGAUUUGGCAUGGACUGCCUCUAGGAGCUCCUCGAGCUCGGCUAGGGCCAGACGUCCCCCAAGUCUCAGUCGGUCAGGCCCUGGUGGCUCCAGCAAGAAGAGGCGCUUCCAAAGGGUGUCACGCCGGCAAUGCCCGCCAGCCUGCCGGACCAGCUGAGCCAGCCGUGCCCGUGCCAUGCCCACCUCUGCAGCUAGUGGUGGGAACAGAGGAGCUGGUCCAGGGGCCAGGACAAGGCCGGAGGUCUCCCCAGGGCUACCAACAGAGCUGCCAGGAGCUUCUGGCUCAGGGGGUAGUCUGGGAGGCUUCCGGAACCUGCGCAUGUCAGCAGUGAGUCUGGGGAAGAGUUCUCGUUGACUGGUGAGCACCACGAAGAACUGCAGCCUGGAGUGGGGAGCAGGCAGGAGAGAGUGUCACAGCAAGAGACACGGGGUGCAGCACAGUGACAGACCAGUAGAGACACAUCAAAGUCAUCCUGAUGGCGAAGUCCCUCAGAGUCCAGCCUCAUGGGCUCGCCUUCUGGCACUGACCUUGGUAAAUGUGAUUGCGGCCAAAGUGGGGUCCAUCCGGAUGGUGGGCUAGGAAGUGUCGCAGGAAGGUGGUGAGGUGGUAGCCGUGCCGCAGCACCAGGUGGGCGCCAAGCACGUGCUGGUGGACAAGGCGCAGGUGGAAAUCAUAGCUGAAAGAGUGCACGUGCAUCAGGUCUCGUACCUUGUCACACUCCUCUGUGAACAGCAUGGACAGCUGAAGAGGGAAAAUGGAAUGGAAUUAGGGUGUAGUAGCACAAGCUGUGCAACCCACAUUUCCCUCUUUCCAAGGAGAAGAGGAAACUUGACAAAGUUCCCCAGCUGCCUUAGGCCCAGUGGUCCCCCUUUAGCCAGCACAUCUUCUAUGAGAAACUUUCCUCUUACUUACGCUUUUUCAUUUAUUUUUUUUUCUUUUUGGUUUCUUUGAGGUAGGGUCUCACUCUAGCCCAAGCUGAUCU